AUUGAACGCUGGCGGAAUGCUUUACACAUGCAAGUCGAGCGGCAGCGCGGGGCAACCUGGCGGCGAGCGGCGAACGGGUGAGUAAUGUAUCGGAACGUGUCCUGUCGUGGGGGAUAGCCCGGUGAAAACCGGAUUAAUACCGCAUACGAUCGAGAGAUGAAAGUGGGGAACCGCAAGGCCUCACGCGAUAGGAGCGGCCGAUAUCUGAUUAGCUAGUUGGUGGGGUAAAGGCCCACCAAGGCUUCGAUCAGUAGCUGGUCUGAGAGGAUGAUCAGCCACACUGGGACUGAGACACGGCCCAGACUCCUACGGGAGGCAGCAGUGGGGAAUUUUGGACAAUGGGGGCAACCCUGAUCCAGCCAUUCCGCGUGAGUGAAGAAGGCCUUCGGGUUGUAAAGCUCUUUUGUCCGGGAAGAAACGGUUUCACCUAAUACGUGAGACUACUGACGGUACCGGAAGAAUAAGGACCGGCUAACUACGUGCCAGCCGCCGCGGUAAGAC
rnacentral:rRNA from 1 species